rnacentral:lncRNA from 1 species
AUGGAUCCAAAGGAGAAGAUACUGCUGCUCUUGAGCAAUCAAACUCCUGCAGCAAUUCUGAGGUAAAUUGUCUCUGACUGAUGAUGAAAUUAAAAUUUCCAUCCCCAAAAAGUAGUGUAUAUCACCUAAAUGCUUGACUUUGAAUUCUGUAUUGAGAAACGUGCAAAUGUGAUCAAUUUCCUUUGUGUCAUUACCUGUAAAUAGUAUAUCAUCUACAUAAACAGCUAAAAUGGAAAAUAGGCCAUCUUUCUGUUUAUAGAACAUGGAAUAGUCAUUGAGAGAACCGGAGUAGCCUUUGAAACUCAGAGCUCCGGCAAGCCUAGAAUACCAUUGUCGUGAUGCUUGCUUCAAAUCAUAGAGAGACUUCCUUAAUAAACAGACUUGAUUAGGCUUAGGGGGAAGAAGUCCCGCAGGAAAUCUCAUGUACACUUCUUCCUGUAAGUCCCCAUGUAAGAAAGCAUUGUUAACAUCUAAUUGAGAGACUUUCCAACCUUUCUUUACUACCAUUGUUAAAAGACAUCGAAUGGUAGUCAUUUUCACCAUUGAUGAAAAUGUUUCAAAAUAGUCUAUGCCUUCCCUUUGAAUGUCCCCCCUCACUACUAACCUUGCUUUUAAUCUCUCCACUGUUCCAUCAGAAUUGUGUUUCACUUUAUAUACCUAAUUGCAAGGCAAGGCUCUCUUUCCCCGUGGCAAGUCCACAAUGUCCCAAGUGUGGUUAAGCUCAAGUGCCUUAAUUUCUGCUUCCAUAGCUUUCCUCCAACCUGGAUGUGUAGAUGCUUGAGCAUAACUAUUUGGUUCUGAAAUAUUAGACAGUGUUUGAAGAACCUUUUGGUUGUUGAGUGAAAGAGCAUAAAAAAAAAACACACUAGGCUUGAAAGGUUGAAUGAAACAAGAAGAGGUAAGGUCAGGAAGAAUGAUAGUGUUGCAGACGUAGUCAUUCAAAUAUGUAGGCUUCUGAGUGAUCCUUUCUGACUUUCUGAUUGGAGGAGGUGGAAUGGGAAUAGGACUCUUAGACAAACUUGGAACUGUAGAAUGAAAAAGAGAUUGUCUAUCAGUAGAGAAUGGAAUAACACUAGUGUGUGAAUUGGUUCUAGGCAUAGUGAUAGGAGUAGCAGGGGAGUCUGAGUGAUUUGUGUUGGGUGGCUGAGUGAAAGUAGUACGUGGUUCUGUUGUGAAAUCAACAUGCGCAUUUCCUGUUGAGUCUGCUUGGGCUGCAGGGGGCAGGAUAGAAAGGAAAAUCAGAUGGUGAGACUGAUGUGAUGAAAGGAAAACAAUGCUCAUGAAACUUGACAUCUUUGGAAAUAAAAACUUUCCUGUUGUUCAUAUCCAAAACUUUGUACCCUUUUUGAUUGUGAGGGUAACCUAGAAACACACAACUCUUAGCUCUUGGUUCAAACUUCCCUCUAGUUUGAGCUAGAGUGGAGGCAUAACAUAAGCAUCCAAAAGAUCUUAGACAAUCAUACUUGGGUGGCUUCUUAAACAGUACUUAAUAUGGUGUCUUCCCUUUCAGAACUUUUGAAGGAAAUCUAUUUAUUAGAUAUGUGGUAGUCAAUAUACAUUCUCCCCAAUAUUGAAUAGGGACCCUUGAUUGAAAUAAUAAGCCCCUUGCAAUUUUCAAAAGAUGUCUAUGUUUCCUCUCCAGAACACCAUUUUAUUGUGGAGUAGCUACACAAGAUGUUUCAUAUUGUAUACCUUGUGAAUGCAGAAAUAUAGAUUCCUGUGUCCCCUUUCCCAAUUCCAAAGCAUUGUCAGAUCUUAGCUUAUUCACCUUCUUGUUAAAUUGUCUUUCCAUCAUAGUAAGAAGACACUUCAAAACUGAAAAUGUAUUACUUUUAGUACUCAAGAUAAAGGUCCAGGUUGCUCUACUGAAAUCAUCAACUAUGGUUAGGAAGUACUUGUAUCCAUUGUAUGUACUAGUCUUAAAAGGUCCCCAAAUAUCUAUAUGAAUAAGAUUAAAUAUGCUUGAAGAUCUGAUUUGACUAAUUGGGAAAGGUAGCUUAGUUUGCCUGGCUUGAGGACAUACAUCACAUAAUCAAAAUUUGAAGGAAAAUGAAUGAAACUGAGAUUUUUCACAGCUGCAAAGGGCAAAUGCCCCAAUCUGACAUUCCAUUCUCUUACAUUAGAUAUAGCAUUAGCAAACACAGGUGCUCAAAAAGGAACACUAGUAGAAAACAAACUGGAAUUACUUCCCUUUGAAAUUGAAACUACAUUUUGUUUGAACAAGAUCCCAGACUCUAAACUACUAGGCUGGAGUAGGUAUAGACCAUCCCUCACUUCACCAAAAGCUUGUCCCCUCCUCAUUAAAGGGACCUGCAACAGACAUUUGUUGGAAGUCAGAUUGAUAAAACAACUGAAUUGGCUACAUAACUUAUGGACUGAUAAUAAGUUAUAUUUGAAAGAAGGGACAUAUAGAACCCUUUCCAGAAUCAUAUCUGGUUGUAUGCUUACCCUUCCUAUAUGUGUAACAAACAAUUGAAAUGAGUUAGGCAAACUUAUGUGCAAAGGUAUAGGAAAUGGACAGAGUUCUAAGAAAGAUUUUGAGUCAAAACACAUGUGCUCAGAGGCACCUGAGUCAAUAAUCCAGGUGUUAGUUUUAAAAAUAGCUAGGCAUGUUCCAGAGUAUUUAAGAAUGGUACCAGCUACUGAAUUAGCAUUGAUCUCUAUUCCUUCAUUUCCUCCAUUUACAAUCUGCACUUGUUUGAUUAUGUUUACUAAGUCAGAGACUUGUUCCUUGCUGAAAAAAUGAUUCUGAUUGCUUGAAUUUCCUUUAGUGCAUCUAUUUGUUUGUCCAUCAGUUUAUGUUGCUGGAACCAGUGCAUUGGCCUUCACUGCUCCUUGAGAGAAGUGUGACUUGGUAAAUUAAAAGUCAUCUGGAAACCCAUUGAGCCUGUAGUAGUCUGCCCUGGCAUGGCCUGUCCUCAUGCAGUGAGAACAGGUAACAUUUGGGUUGUACCUAGUCUUCUUUGCCUUGAAUUUUUGUUGUGUGUUCCCUUGCUUCUGCUUUGGAUUCCAAGUUCUUUGGAUCUGAUUGUUUCUCUAUGGGGUUUUGUUCUGUAUUCCCACCAUGAAUGAUGCAACAUCAAUGGGCUAUGAAGGAUUCAUGUAUAAUUCCCUUUGGCUCUCAUCCUACAACAGUAGAGAAUAGGAUUGAUCAAUGCCUGGGAGUGGACUCAUCAAAAGUAUGUUUCCUCUUGCUUGAGCAUAAACAUCAUUCAAUCCCAUAAGGAAUUGAAUAACUCUUUGAUCUUCCAUGAACUUUGCAAUUUUCUUCUUUCCAUCAAAUGUACAAUCACAAGUGCAUCCCAGAUGUGAGUUGAGAGAAUCCAACUCAUCCCACAGUCUUUGUAGAGUUGUAAAAUAGCCUGCUAUGCUGCUAUUUCCUUGGGCUAACUUUGAGAUCUCCUUCUGUAGGUGAUAGAGCUUUGCUCCACUCGAUUGGCCAAACCUGUGCUCGAGGCUGCUUCAGAGAUCUUUUGUAGUUCUAGAAUAAAUCACACUAUCUCCUAUCUCCUUGGUCAGUGAAUUCGGCAACCAAGAGGUCACCAUGUCGUUGCACCUGCUCCAUUGUGAGUGUUCUGCAGCAUUCAAAGCUGGUUCACCACAAGUUCCAUUGAUAAAACCAAGCUUGUUCUUGUCUGAAAUCGCAAUUAGUACAGAUCUUCUCCAGCCUAGAAAACCUCUUCCGUCAAAUGGUGAUCUAACUAGAGACAUCCCUGGAGCAUCAGAAGAAUGUAGAUAGUAAGGGUGAUUGGAAUCAGGGGUGCUCCCACUGCUGGUGGAUCCAGUGGCAGUGAGAGUAGGUGUUGCUUCUGUUCCUAUCGUUGCUGAAGAACAGAUGUGAAGAUGAGAAGAGUAAUGAUUGAAUUUUGAGAGAAAAUUAUGAUAGAUCGAGCUACUGAUGCUCCGAUACCAUGAAAGAAAGAUAGAGUGAUUUGUGAAAUUUUUCUCUGAUUGUAUUCACUGUAC